rnacentral:rRNA from 1 species
UGUAACAAAUUAAUAAUUACAACUUUCAACAACGGAUCUCUUGGUUCUGGCAUCGAUGAAGAACGCAGCGAAAUGCGAUAAGUAGUGUGAAUUGCAGAAUUCAGUGAAUCAUCGAAUCUUUGAACGCACAUUGCGCCCUUUGGUAUUCCAAAGGGCAUGCCUGUUCGAGCGUCAUUUGUACCCUCAAGCUUUGCUUGGUGUUGGGCGUCUUGUCUCUAGCUUUGCUGGAGACUCGCCUUAAAGUAAUUGGCAGCCGGCCUACUGGUUUCGGAGCGCAGCACAAGUCGCACUCUCUAUCAGCAAAGGUCUAGCAUCCAUUAAGCCUUUUUUCAACUUUUGACCUCGGAUCAGGUAGGGAUACCCGCUGAACUUAAGCAUAUCAAUAAGCGGAGGAA